rnacentral:rRNA from 1 species
AUUGAACGCUGGCGGCAGGCUUAACACAUGCAAGUCGAGCGGGGAAGGGUAGCUUGCUACCUAACCUAGCGGCGGACGGGUGAGUAAUGCUUAGGAAUCUGCCUAUUAGUGGGGGACAACAUCUCGAAAGGGAUGCUAAUACCGCAUACGUCCUACGGGAGAAAGCAGGGGACCUUCGGGCCUUGCGCUAAUAGAUGAGCCUAAGUCGGAUUAGCUAGUUGGUGGGGUAAAGGCCUACCAAGGCGACGAUCUGUAGCGGGUCUGAGAGGAUGAUCCGCCACACUGGGACUGAGACACAGCCCAGACUCCUACGGGAGGCAGCAGUGGGGAAUAUUGGACAAUGGGGGGAACCCUGAUCCAGCCAUGCCGCGUGUGUGAAGAAGGCCUUUUGGUUGUAAAGCACUUUAAGCGAGGAGGAGGCUACUGGUAUUAAUACUACCGGAUAGUGGACGUUACUCGCAGAAUAAGCACCGGCUAACUCUGUGCCAGCAGCCGCGGUAAUAC